UACGGGGGGGGCAAGCGUUGUUCGGAAUUACUGGGCGUAAAGGGCUCGUAGGCGGCCAACUAAGUCGGAUGUGAAAUCCCCAGGCUCAACCUGGGAAUGGCGAUGGAAACUGGGCAGCUAGAGUGUGUCAGAGGAUGGUGGAAUUCCCGGUGUAGCGGUGAAAUGCGUAGAGAUCGGGAGGAACAUCAGUGGCGAAGGCGGCCAUCUGGGACAACACUGACGCUGAAGCACGAAAGCGUGGGGAGCAAACAGG
rnacentral:rRNA from 1 species